UUCAUUGCUACCUACAGGUUGAUAUUCCAAUAUUGGUUGCAACGCAGUGGAUGAUUCCAGUUUUUGUUGCCAUGACCUGCCUUGUCGCUUACUUGAGCUGGCGAAUGCGACAGAAGCGGCGACGUCGAAGAAAAGGUUCUACAUCAGGCAGGUCGUUAAAUUUAUCGUAGUUCUUACUAUUAUCAAGGACGAAAAUUAUCUUGCAGCCUCGAAUCCUCGAAUCACAUUUUGAGGCCAGUUUAGCAGAAUUAAGGUAUUAUUUUCUUAACUGCUACUGGUAAUGUCAGAGGUUUGAACAAGAGAAGUGAACGCAUCUUAUACUUGGGUAUAAGGUUUUGAACAUUUCUGUCAAGAUAGAAAUGUUUUAUAAGUAAUUCCAGCUUUUAGGAUGUGUUUGUUUGUACUGUUUGUUGUAUAAUGUUACCAAUUAGCAAAUAGCGCGUCUUUUUUUGCAUUAGCUGCAAUUCUUAGCAAUUUUGUAGAGGGAAGAGCUGAUUUCUGUUGUCUGCAAUUUUUAGUAAGAAAAUAUAGUGACGAACGUUGGUUUAA